UACGUAGGGUGCAAGCGUUAAUCGGAAUUACUGGGCGUAAAGCGUGCGCAGGCGGUGAUGUAAGACAGAUGUGAAAUCCCCGGGCUUAACCUGGGAACUGCAUUUGUGACUGCAUCGCUGGAGUACGGCAGAGGGGGAUGGAAUUCCGCGUGUAGCAGUGAAAUGCGUAGAUAUGCGGAGGAACACCGAUGGCGAAGGCAAUCCCCUGGGCCUGCACUGACGCUCAUGCACGAAAGCGUGGGGAGCAAACAGG
rnacentral:rRNA from 1 species